ensembl:lncRNA
CCAGCAGCUGAAGUAACGUGUUAGUUUAAGUUACUAUAUUCUGCAAGAGUGUCCUACCUGAAAAGCAGUAGUUUGGGUUGGUAACUCAAUUACUUGUGAGCGUAUGUUUGUGUUUUCCCUCUGCGCCACAGAGAGCUCACGACUCAGUGCAGAACUGCAGGUGACACAAGAGAUGGUUUGAUGGGUGAUAUCCCUGACCAUCAGGGUGGCUCACAUCAGAUGCUUUGUUUCAACAUGGCCACUUCAAUUGAGUUCAGACAAGAGAGCUUCUCCUUUUCUGUGACUUUGAUCCAACGUCAGAAUGGUAGUGAUUUCAGUGGAGAAGUCUUUAGCGGGAAGAGGAAGGCACGGCUUGUUGGAUCGCUGAUGUAACAGCAGCUGACAGGCUCACUCCUUUUCAUCACCUUGUGUUGGCACAAACACGUAUGGCUGUGCAGUGUACAGGACUGAGGGAUGUUCUGGCUUAAAACUAACGCAUAUUGAUACACCCAUCUGGUUCCCUAAGCUGCUAUGUAAACAUACGUGCUAGAGCAAGAGGAUGGUGUGGAUGAGGACUCAGAGGCAAUGUACAGAGAUCACUUGUGAUGCACAUCGGAUGCCCCAAUACAUUUGGAUGCUAUUUUAUCUUGAUUUAUGCAGGCAUAUCUACCCUAUGGGAAAUACUUGCAUUUGUCCAGCCUUAACACAUUUCAGCUAUGGGAAAAUAUCAGCAACUCAACUCCUGAGCUCCUGUUGCUGAAACAGGUUAUUUUCCCCAGUUGAACGAUACCCACUCCAGUCAUCCUAAUUUUUAUUUUUAUUAAAAAAAAAAAAUCAAAUCUGCUUGAUAUAUUCUGCAACAUUAAAUGACAAACAUGCAAAAGGCCACCACUUACUCCUACUUACAGUAAAUGCAUCUGCUUUGUUAAACUCAGCCACUGUGAACUUCAGGAGAAAAAGUUUUGAAAACAAAGACAGAAGAAAAAGAUACAAAUCCUCCUCUAAACCAAAAAAUACCAAAGUUUCCACUGAACCACUAAAUACCAAAAAAUCCUCCUCUUUGAAGAGAAUAUCCAGCAAGCUGUCCAACAUGUAAAAAUCUUCUGCAUGGCUGACACUUGAGUUCCAAACUUUGUUUUGUAACACAACCACUACUUAUGCUUAAAAAAUGUUAAAAAAAAAAAAAAAGAUUGCUUCUGCCUUGCCUUCAAAACGGGAGAUGUAAUCCUUCAGCUAGAGCACAGCAGUAUCAACACAUGAUUUGUCAUUUGAGUUAACCAUUGGGGCAGGGAUGUUCAGUGGGGAUGAUGGAAAAGUUAGCAAGGAAAUAAAAUUAUCUCAAAGCAUAUCAGCUGCCAAAAGAAUUAAGAAUUUUUUUUUCAUCAGUGGCUAACCUGUUUUAAGAGAUUCUUGUGCUCUGCCCUUCCAAACGCUUGUUUGCAUUUCUCACGAUAAUUCUGUCUUCUCAACAAUUUGAUUUUGUGGCCUUAGUCUGAGAGAAGAGAAACAAACCAAAAUAUGGGAGCUUUUAACACAAUGAAAGCUACUUUGGUUAUUGUCCAUAAAGGCAACAAUUGAGCUGCUAUUUUAGAUGCCCGUGUUACACUAGAAUGAUGUGAAGGAAACAAAGCCUUUUUUCUUUUUUUAGACAAAUAAGCAGCAUAAGUGUACCACGUCUGUCCUUGGCAUAUAUACCAGUGAGGUAGAUAUGCAUGAGGCAUACAUGUACAGUGUGCUUAUGCCAAUGGAUUUAGCACUAUUUUGAAUGUUUGUGGACUAG